UAAGCAGAAACCUGAAAGUGUUUGAGCAUUUGGAGCUUGCCCUCUUGCUGCGCUGGAACUCCUGCGACCACCUGGGCCAACCUGCUGGAGGAUGAGAGACUUGUGAUCCAGUUUCCCCCUUCACUCCACUGACAGCUGGCCAACUAAUGAACAUGUGAGUGAGACCAUGUGGGAACAGCCAGCCUCCAGCCUACCUGCCAACUGACCAGAGGAGUGAUUUCCCAAAGAUGUUGCAGCUGAACAGGUGGCGGAGCUUCAACUGGAGCUAAUGGGGCUCUUCUCAGAAUUCACAACCCCAGCAAAUAAGAUGCCAUCCUUUGAGGCUGACGCCUAUAACACCCAUACCUGUUAAACUACAGAAAACCAUAUACCACAGAAGAAAAGCCUUCCCUGCCCCUCAGGAUAGCUACAUGACUUGAUCUGAAAAAGGAGAUGCAAGCUGAGGUCUGCUGGGGUCUUCUGGGGAAGCUUUGUUCCUGAUAGUCCCCUAUCAAGAUCAGCUGCCUUUGCCCUCUUCUUCUUGCCUUCAGUGCAGAUGUAACACUGGAAUAUCCUGUGACCAUGGGGACAAAAGCCCAAUGCUGAGGAUAAUGGUAUGGAAAACAGAGCCGAGUCCCUGAUGGCAUCAGUGAGCACUAGAACCAAGGGCAGCAGUUGCCUACAUACUUCCUUCUCAAGUGAGAGAAAAACAAUCUCUGUUUGAAUCAUGGGUCCAUUUUUUGCUACUUGCAGCCAAAUGUACUCUUAUUUAACACAGCAACCUGGGGCCUGAGCUGCCUCACUCCUAUUCCUGCUUUCCCAUAAACCAACCAGCAAGCAAGGAAAGUCCUAAUUUCCUGAGACUUCUCCAAAGACGGACUGUCCCAGACUACAAUUACAGGCCUCCUACUUCACACUACCAAGACCCUGUGGGGUCCCAGCAACUUAUGAGGUCUGUGGACUCAGUCCCCAGAAAAUGCCCAGGCUAAGAAACUCUGCCACCAUCCUGCAGCAUAUGAGUGGGUCCCACAGUGCUCCUGGCUUGUCUGGGGCUUGGGAAAGCAGAGGCUGCAGACUUGAACCAAGACCAGUACAGCUUAUGGGUCCUUCCCUCUUCUCAGAGAGGCCCAAGGAAAGAAGCUAGGCCACCUCUGCUUUUUUUUUUUGUUUUUUUGAGGAAGAUCAGCCCUGAGCUAACAUCUGCUGCCAAGCCUACUCUUUUUGCUGAGGAAGACUG